GGGCACAUGGUGUAGUUGGUUAUCACGCCCGCUUAGCAUCAGGCCGGGUAUUUGCAUCUGCGGGCGGUCCCCGGUUCAAUUCCGGGUGUGUCCA